CCCGCCCGCGCCGCCCUGCCCCGGGGGGCGGGCCCAGCGCGCAGCCCUUCCUGUCGGCGGCGGUUGUGCGCGGUCGGGGCGCCGAGGGCACCUGCUCGGGGUCGCCAUGAAUAAUCCUAUACCUUCCAAUUUGAAAUCGGAAGCAAAAAAGGCUGCUAAAAUUCUGAGAGAAUUCACGGAAAUAACCUCCAGAAACGGACCUGAUAAGAUCAUUCCUGCCCACGUCAUCGCUAAAGCGAAGGGCCUUGCCAUUUUGUCGGUGAUAAAAGCUGGAUUUCUAGUAACUGCUAGAGGAGGCAGUGGGGUCGUGCUGGCUCGUCUUCCGGACGGAAAAUGGUCUGCGCCUUCAGCCAUCGGGAUAGCGGGGCUCGGCGGAGGCUUCGAAGUGGGAAUUGAGGUAUCAGAUUUGGUAAUAAUUUUGAAUUAUGACAGAGCAGUAGAAGCUUUUGCAAAAGGUGGUAACCUGACCCUUGGAGGGAAUUUUACUGUGGCAGUUGGGCCCCUGGGAAGGAAUUUAGAAGGAAACGUUGCCCUGAGAAGCUCUGCCGCUGUCUUUACGUACUGCAAAUCAAGAGGGCUCUUUGCUGGCGUAUCUUUAGAGGGCAGUUGUUUGAUCGAAAGGAAAGACACUAAUCGGAAGUUUUACUGUCGCGACGUCCGAGCCUACGACCUGCUCUUCGGAGAAGCGCCGCGGCCGGCGCAAGCGGACGAGCUCUAUGAGGUCCUGGACUCCUUCACCGCCAAGUACGAGCGUGACGGACAGCGAGCCAACGCCCGGAGAGCCGCGCGGGAGCGGAGGCGGGCUGCGGUGCGUGUCCCCGCGGCGACAGACAUGCCUCCCACGCCGACGCCGGGACCGCAGCCGCCCCCCGCACGAGGCCCCCGAAGUAACGGACACAAGUGCAAGCUCUACCCUGAGCUUCCCGGCCUUCCGCAGAGAGUUGAUCACAAGGAGGCAGAGAGAGAGGGGGAAGCAGGCUCCCCCGUGAGCAGGGAGCCCGAUGCCGGACUCGAUCCCAGGACCCUGAGAUCAUGACCUGAGCUGAAGGCAGAGGCUUUACCCACAGAGCCCCCCAGGCGCCCCAGCCUCCGUAUUUCUUGAGCACAGGAAUAGGAAACUGGAAGGCCUGGGUCACUCAGAAGGGAAGGCAUCUGUGAACGCCAGAUACUUUCAUCAGCAGUGGGGCCGGUUUCCGUGGUCCCUGGGGGGCUUUCCCUUUCUGAAAGGUCCAACCCCCCUCCCGGAAGAAAAAGGCCCACUUUUUUUUUUUUUAUAAGCUAUUUUGUGGGCAUUAAACUUUUCCUUGUGGGAAAUAUCCCGAAUAUUUACAGCAAAGGAGAGCUUUAAGUCAUUUUGCUGGAAGAAGCAGCAGUAGGGCCUGGCCUGCGGGGCCUGCGGGCUGCGGCCUCCAGGGCCUUCAUUCGGGCUGGGCUCCCUGCCUCGUGUUCUUGUGUGUGGAUUUUCCCCGAAACGGCUUCAGCUUCUGAGUCUUCUGGGGCUCCCCCCGGCUCCCUGUCCUGCCCGUACUGCCCCUCGCUCUACCAGCCACGAUCCCCGCCCCUCUGCCUCAUGUCUGCCCAGAGUUUGGGUCGGGGAAGCCCCGCCGUGCCGCCGCCUUCUCUCGAAACCGCUGGCUCUGCCCUCGCACCACGUUCCCAUCAGCACUUUGUCCUCCGUGCAUCUGGAAGGUACAGCUCAGAGGCAGCACCUGUCACCAUUGCUCUCGUCCCUUCGGAUGUCUUAAUGUUGUGCGACACGUGGCUGCUGAGAUGGCGAUGACUUCCAGAACACUCCCUGAUGCUCACUGGGGCUCCUCCAGUUGUGCUUUGUGUCAUCCGAGACGUCUGGAGACGGGAGAGGAGGAGUCUUGAGGGUGUCCGUUAACUGGGGUUGAAGAGGUUGAGCUUCGUGUGUGGGUGGCUAUCUGGACGAGCCCGUGGAAGUGACGGCGUUGUAUUCUUUCAAGGGACAACAGCCUGGGGACUUGAAUUUUCAAGCUGGAGACAGAAUCACAGUUAUAUCAAAAACAGACUCACAGUUCGAUUGGUGGGAAGGAAAGCUUCGAGGUCAAACUGGCAUUUUUCCAGCCAACUAUGUUGCCAUGAAUUAAAGUUUAUAUUAUUUUCUUC